rnacentral:lncRNA from 1 species
CUCAGGCCCAAGAAUGAAACUAUACCCACCCUGGCAUUCAAGAAAUAUGACCCCUGACUUAGAAACCCUAAUUGUUUUCUCACUCAGUUGCCUUCACUUCAGUAGUGACAGUGAAUCCAGGACCUCUACUCCGUAGGUAAUUGAAACCCUUGGAGGAGGAACAGUGGAGAGAGUCCCUUGAUGGAUGUCAGGACAGAAGAAGCGGACCAGGAACCCUCUGGAUGGUGAUGUUCUCCAGGUGCAGGACAGGAAAUGUCUACUCCUGACAACUGGUGUUGGAAUCAGAUGCAACCAUGGAUGAAAACAGUCUAAUUGCAAGUGUGGAUAGAAUGAACAUCGUUUGAAGAUCUGUCUGAUGCAAGUUAAUAUGCAGGAAAUGUUACUCACCAUUUGGAUCUAUAAAAAGGAGAGUUUCAAAAGUUGUUGCAAAAAUGCAAGGAGAAAUGCACACCAGAACACAACUGCAGUAGGUGCUGCUGCUUGGACAAUUUGCAUGAGAGAGAUUAUAAACGUCUGAUUGAAAUACUUGGGCAAGUUGUUCCCAAAAUCAAGAACUAGCUUGUGGCCAAGAUUUUCAGAUCUGUGUACCUAAAGUUAAUAUGCAUAAUCCAUAUUUAAAUGCCUAAAUAUAAAUGGCCUGAUUUUUAGAAAUGGACAUACACCUCUACGCCAAUAUAACAUGAAUUCGGAUAUUAUGC